AUAUGAUACUGCAAGAGGACAGAACAAGAUAAAACACAAACUAAAUUGCAAAUCUGCAAUGCUUCGAAGGACCCAUGGGAGGAAUUAUUUGGGAUCAUACACAAGAGCAACGCCUGGGUUUAGUACCUAUGCAACAGGUUCUGCUUUUAACACGCAACGUAUCUCAAUAGGACAUGGCAAUGGCUUCAGGUUGGGAAGAAAACAAACGUUUAAACGGAUUAAAUAUCCGCGUACACCCCACAGUAUCGGAACAGCCUCCUUUCGGCGCCACUACUGAACCCUCUUUGGGGGUAUAAUUAGCACAGCGCCUGUUAAUCCCACGGCCCGUGUCGCCUCCGUCUGUGCACCUCUUGCGUUGACGUGUUCCUGCCUCCCUGGGGGGCAGCCGAGUGGCACACGCGACUAAAAUACAUUAGCGCCCCGACACGGAGCCUAGAGUCGAGAACGAAUUAAACCGAUCGCCCGGACUAAGCGACAUUCCCCAAAGGCCAGUGGGUGGGGGUGGCAUGAAAUGAGGCAUGCUGCUUGCUGUGUGUGCCACUCGCACUACUACCAGCGCAGUCCCUCCUCAAUGGCUUAAACCCCCACUAGCGUACAUCUUUGUCUCAAUGCGCCGAAAGAGCUCCAUAUACGAUUAAGUAUCAUUCAAUUAAACUUUCUUCAUAUUUCCCUGUCAGAUUCGUU